rnacentral:lncRNA from 1 species
CUUCUCACUAUAUACUUUGUUUGGUUAUUUAAAGGUUGUAACUUCAUAAACUGCGAAUGGUUCAGGAACAGAUGAUCAACGUCGUCAAAUCUUAGCCAUUAUCAUAGAAAAAAUGAUUUGCUUCUUUUUUUUCUUUUUUCUUUUGUUUUAUCAAAUGAUAUGAAUAACUAAUUUUUAUAGUUCGUUAAUAUCGAAUAAAUUUGUUCGUUUUAUGUGGAUGC